CCCUUCUACUAUCGUAGGUGGGGCAUAAUAAAAACUUUCUGUAUAGCUAGCUAUAUAUAAAAGCCAAAUGAACAACAAAAUAUGAAACAAAUCAAAAGAACAAAUUAGUGGCAAUGUUUAAGAGAAUAACAUCACACGAAAGACAAAUAUUAGCAAAUUAAAACUACACUGCCAGACAGACUUGUACAAUUUACAAUAAUUCAAUGCACUAAACUUAGUUGACCUACUGCUGAAAGUAUCUGGAAAAAAACUUGAUAAAUGCCAGACAAUAACUCUGACCUUAAGACAUAUAAAUAUAUAAGAGGUAUGAAGCAUCAAGGUUUUCUACCUUCUUAAACAUUCAGCUUUAUACAAAAAGUUAAUGUCAUUGAAGAAGCUGUGCAUAGAUCAAGCAUACCUUUGUCUUGCAUCCUUCAUUGAAAUCAAGACAAAAAUGCUAAAAUUUUUGAAAAAG
rnacentral:lncRNA from 1 species